GAUGAACGCUGGCGGCGUGCCUAAUACAUGCAAGUCGAGCGAACGGACGAGAAGCUUGCUUCUCUGAUGUUAGCGGCGGACGGGUGAGUAACACGUGGAUAACCUACCUAUAAGACUGGGAUAACUUCGGGAAACCGGAGCUAAUACCGGAUGAUAUUUUGAACCGCAUGGUUCAAAAGUGAAAGACGGUCUUGCUGUCACUUAUAGAUGGAUCCGCGCUGCAUUAGCUAGUUGGUAAGGUAACGGCUUACCAAGGCAACGAUGCAUAGCCGACCUGAGAGAGUGAUCGGCCACACUGGAACUGAGACACGGUCCAGACUCCUACGGGAGGCAGCAGUAGGGAAUCUUCCGCAAUGGGCGAAAGCCUGACGGAGCAACGCCGCGUGAGUGAUGAAGGUCUUCGGAUCGUAAAACUCUGUUAUUAGGGAAGAACAUAUGUGUAAGUAACUGUGCGCAUCUUGACGGUACCUAAUCAGAAAGCCACGGCUAACUACGUG
rnacentral:rRNA from 1 species